AGAGAGAGGGGUCCAUGAACGAUUGUAAGUGAUAUUCCAUAGUUGCUUGCUGGUGUACUGAUUUUUGCUGAUUUGGAGAAUAGCUGAUAACUUUUGUUUGAAUUGUUAGGCUUUCCAUCUCACCGUUGAGUCUUUAAAUGGUAGUUCCAUGAAGGUCUCCUCCAUAUUUUAGUCAGAUCGGAUAUUGCAUGAAGCUUCCACGAUCUAGUGAAGUUGCUCUGACAAAGGGAUUUUUCCUUUGUUUUGCUGAUUCAGAGAGGCAAUGAUAACU